CAACCAAGAAUUAAAUGUGCUGCUUACAUCGCGUAUUGGCAUAAUCUACAAACAAAUUUCAAAGCAUGUAUAAAAUGUGCAAAAUAAAACCAUCUGUGAAUCAAGUAGUAAUGUAUAUUACAGGGAGUAAGGAAGUAUUCAUAGUAGUAGUGUAUCAUAAAAGCUACAUGCACAGCCAGCCUUGUUUAUACUUGUGUAUUCAAUAGACUGCUAGGGUACGUCUUAGUCAUAGAAAGGACUGAAUGCAAACAAAUCAACACUGGAACAUAAAUGCAGUUUAAGGGAGAUAACAUUAUGCCAGUGGUUCCCAAACUUUUUAGGUUCAAGACGCCCUUACUAUUUCAAUAUUUUUCCAAGGCACUCCAAGUCAAAAAAAUGUUCUAGGUUGCAUAUAUGUAUAGCGCUGCAGCAUAUACUGGGCCCCCAAUCUUGGGAGUGGCACUGGUAGAUUAUUUAAAGAAACAAUCCAGGCACAAUAACCACUAAAUUACGUUGCAGUGGUUAUGGUGCCAGUAGUACCAUAGUGCCCUCCAAGGGUAAGUAGUAAACUGUUUAAGAACAGUUUGACAACGUACCCUGGGUCUGCUGGAAUAGGGGCUAUAGUGUGUGUGUGGUGCAAUAUGUGUGUGUGAGGGGUGCAAUAGGUGUGUGUGUAAGGGGUGUAGUGUGCGUGUAUGUACAGGGUUGCAGAGUGCGUGUGUGUGUGUACAGGGGUGCAUUGUGUUUGUGAAGGAUGUAGUUUGUGUGUGUGCCUAAGGGGUACAGUGUGUAUGUAAGGGCUACAGAGUGUGUGUGUGAGGUGUACAGUGUGUGUGAGGGGGGCAGGUUGUGUGAGGAGUACAGUGUCUGUGCAGUGUAUGUGGUGGGGUGUAGUGUGUGUGAGGGGUACAGUGUGUGUGUGUAUGGGGUUAGUGUGUAUUUGGGGUGCAGUGUGUGUGUAUGGGGGUCAGGGCCAUCUUUAAUGCGGGGCAAACGGGGCAGCUGCCCCAGGCCCAGUUACUCUUGGGGGGCCCAAGGCAGCUUCCCCGUGGGCCCCCGCAGCCCUCAACAAUUUUUUCCCACAAGGGGCCGCCGGCCCGCACAUUAAGGAGGCCACUGGUUGGUUGUGCAACCAGUUUGUAAGCAGGGGCCCGGUCACAUGCUGUAGCCCUUUAACAGCGCGACCAGGCCCUUUGCUUUUCGGCAGAGCUGGGAGGAAGUGAUGGCUGCGAGUCUCUUCCUCCCACUAAGGAGAGGAGCCGCGUGGGAGAUGAAGGAGGGAGCCUGACCUGAAGAGGCAGAUCCCAACAGCCUCAGCAUUCAGUCUGGACACUGGGGAACCACCUUCCAAGGUAGGAAACUUGUGGGUGGGUUUAAAAGUGUAAAUUUAUGUCAGUAUAUCUGUCUGUGUAUGUGUCUGUGUUUGUGUCGGUAUGUCUGUCAGUGUAUUUGUCUCUGUUUGUGUCAGUAUGUCUGUCAUUGUAUGUUUAUGUCAGUAUGUCUGUCUGUGUAUGUUUCAGUAUGUCUGUCAUUGUAUGUUUAUGUCAGUAUGUAUGUCAGUGUAUGUGUCUGUGUUUGUGUCAGUAUGUCUGUCGGUGUAUGUUUAUGUCAGUAUGUCUGUCAUUGUGUCUGUAUGUGUGUGUCAGUAUGUCUGUCAUUUUAUGUCUUUGUGUAUGUGUGUCAGUAUGUCUGACAGUGUUUGUCUGUGUAUGUGUGUCAGUAUAUAUGUCUGCAUGUGUGUCAGUAUGUCUGUCAGUGUUUGUGUGUGUGUGUGUCAGUAUGUCUCUAGUGUAUGUCUCUGUGUGUGUGUCAGUUUGUCUGUCAGUGUAUGUGUCUGUGUGUGUGUCAGUAUGUCUGUUAGUGUAUCUAUCUGUGUAUGUGUGUUAGUAUGUCUGGCAGGGGGCAGGUUCCAGGAGCCCCAAGCAAAUGGUUGCCCAGGGUCCGGUCAAUAUUAAAGACUGCCCUGAUGGGGGUAGUGUGUGUAUGGGGGGCAGGGUCUUUAUGGAAGGGCAGUGUGUGUAUGGGGGCAGUGUGUGU